CAACUCGCCUGCAUGAAGUUGGAAUUGCUAGUAAUCGCGAAUCAGAAUGUCGCGGUGAAUACGUUCCCGGGCCUUGUACACACCGCCCGUCACACCAUGAGAGCCGAUAACACCCGAAGCCUGUGAGCUAACCGUAAGGGGGCAGCAGUCGAAGGUGGGGUUGGUGAUUGGGGUGAAGUCGUAACAAGGUAUC
rnacentral:rRNA from 1 species